rnacentral:rRNA from 1 species
AGCGAACGCUGGCGGCAGGCCUAACACAUGCAAGUCGAACGAACCUUUCGGGGUUAGUGGCGGCCGGGUGAGUAACACGUGGGAACGUGCCUUUAGGUUCGGCAUAACUCAGGGAAACUUGUGCUAAUACCGAAUGUGCCCUUCGGGGGAAAGAUUUAUCGCCUCUAGAGCGGCCCGCGUCUGAUUAGCUAGUUGGUUGAGGUAAUGGCUCACCAAGGCGACGAUCAGUAGCUGGUCUGAGAGGAUGAUCAGCCACAUUGGGGCUGAGACACGGCCCAAACUCCUACGGGAGGCAGCAGUGGGGAAUCUUGCGCAAUGGGCGAAAGCCUGACGCAGCCAUGCCGGGUGAAUGAUGAAGGUCUUAGGAUUGUAAAAUUCUUUCAACGGGGACGAUAAUGACGGUACCCGGAGAAGAAGCCCCGGCUAACUUCGUG